rnacentral:rRNA from 1 species
GACGAACGCUGGCGGCGCGCUUAACACAUGCAAGUCGAACGGAAAGGCCUGCUUUCCCUUGUGGAUUGCGGGUACUCGCGUGGCGAACGGGUGAGUAACACGUGAGUGAUCUGCCCCCAACUUGGGUAUAAGCCUGGGAAACUGGGUCUAAUUCCCGAUAGGACUGCAGGGUGGUGCCUGUGGUGGAAAACGAUUUUCUAGUGGUUGGGGCUGAGCUCGCGGCCUAUCAGCUUGUUGGUGGGGUAAUGGCCUACCAAGGCGGCGACGGGUAGCCGGCCUGAGAGGGUGGACGGCCGCAUUGGGACUGGGAUACGGCCCAGCCUCCGACGGGAGGCAGCAGUGGGUAAUAGUGCACAAUGGGCGGAAGCCUGAUGCAGCGACGCCGCGUGGGGGAUGACGGCCUUCGGGUUGUAAACUCCUUUCGACCGCGAGGAAGCCACCUGGUUGGAAGGGUGGUGACGGUAGUGGUAGAAGAAGCACCGGCUAACUACGUG